rnacentral:rRNA from 1 species
UACGUAGGGUGCGAGCGUUAAUCGGAAUACUGGGCGUAAAGCGUGCGCAGGCGGUGAUGUAAGACAGUUGUGAAAUCCCCGGGCUCAACCUGGGAACUGCAUCUGUGACUGCAUUGCUGGAGUGCGGCAGAGGGGGAUGGAAUUCCGCGUGUAGCAGUGAAAUGCGUAGAGAUGGGGGAGAACACUCGUGGCGAAGGCGGCCAGCUAGACCAGUUCUGACACUGAGGCGCGACAGCGUGGGGAGCAAACAGG